rnacentral:rRNA from 1 species
UACGUAGGGUGCAAGCGUUGUCCGGGAAUUUAUUGGGCGUAAAGAGCUCGUAGGCGGUUUGUCGCGUCUGCUGUGAAAACCCGAGGCUCAACCUCGGGCCUGCAGUGGGUACGGGCAGACUAGAGUGCGGUAGGGGAGAUUGGAAUUCCUGGUGUAGCGGUGGAAUGCGCAGAUAUCAGGAGGAACACCAAUGGCGAAGGCAGAUCUCUGGGCCGAUACUGACGCUGAGGAGCGAAAAGCGUGGGGGAGCGAACAGG